UACGGAGGGUGCAAGCGUUAUCCGGAUUCACUGGGUUUAAAGGGUAGCGUAGGUGGGCAGGUAAGUUCAGUGGUGGAAAUCUCCGGGCUUAACCCGGAAACUGCCAUUGAUACUAUCUGUCUUGAAUACCGUGGAGGUGAGCGGAAAUAUGUCAUGUAGCGGUGAAAUGCUUAGAUAAUGACAUAGAACACCGAAUUGCCGA
rnacentral:rRNA from 1 species